AUUGAACGCUGGCGGCAUGCCUUACACAUGCAAGUCGAACGGUAACGGGCCUUCGGGUGCCGACGAGUGGCGAACGGGUGAGUAAUGCAUCGGAACGUACCUUUCAGUGGGGGAUAACGUAGCGAAAGUUACGCUAAUACCGCAUAUUCUGUGAGCAGGAAAGCAGGGGAUCGCAAGACCUUGCGCUGAUUGAGCGGACGAUGUCAGAUUAGCUAGUUGGUGAGGUAAGAGCUCACCAAGGCGACGAUCUGUAGCGGGUCUGAGAGGAUGAUCCGCCACACGGGGACUGAGAGAGGGCCCAGCACCCUACGGGAGGCAGAAGUGAGGAAUUUUGGACAAGGGGGGCAGCCCUGAUCCAGGCAUGCCGGGUGAGUGAAGAAGGCCUUCGGGUUGUACAGCUCUUUCGGCCGGGAAGAAAUCGUGUUCUCUAACAUAGGACAUGGAUGACGGUACCGGACUAAGAAGCACCGGCUAACUACGUGCCAGCAGCCGCCGUAACAC
rnacentral:rRNA from 1 species